CUAUUUAAAUGCACAUGUCUUCAGCAACAACCAUAGACUUCAGUCACGUAUUCCUGCCCCUCCUAACUAAAAAUGUGCAGCAUGAGUGAACUUGACUUUUUUAUUGGAGAAGGUAAAUGCAUAUACUGGAACUUCUUGUAUGUUGCUUAGUCUUUUUUCUCUCUGAUAGCUUAUGGGACAUUUCAGUUGACCAUCCCUGUUGAGGCAACAAUUGCUCCCCUGGCACGGAUGCUUGUGUAUACCAUUUUACCCAGUGGGGAAGUCAUCGCCAGUUCAGCAGAUUUUCAGGUUGAAAGUUGCCUCCCCAAUAAAGUGAGUAUAAGUUAGGGUUUAUGCGAUCCAUGUUUCUCUUGUGACUAGCAGUUCAGUUAUGAGUUCCAGAACGGAGGCAGAAUUCACAAUGGGUUCAUGAAAUGGUCUGACCAGAUGUUAACUGAGGAUUAGUGGCUGAAACUCCAGAAUAAGGUACAAAGCCAUAACUAUAAAAAGUGGAGCAAGACAGAAUAAGAAAAAGAAUCAUUGAUCAUUAUUGAUUACAUUGGUUAAAGCUGAAUAUAUAUUAGAAGAACUGCAGGGCACUAGCAGAGCUCAGUUCACAAGGCUAGAUGCUUCAGUGCAAAAGCAUGCAACAGCAUCUGGAAAAGUGGCUGCUUUAAAUUCCUUUUGGGGUUGCAGGUCAGAUUGAGUUUUGUACCCAAGGAAGGUCUUCCUGCCUCCAACACACGCCUACAACUCCAUACCUCACCAAGGUCCCUGUGUGCCCUCCGUGCAGUGGACAAGAGCGUUCUCCUUAUGAAGCCUGAAGAUGAGCUCUCUCCCAGCUUGGUGUAUGAGCUUCUCCCACUGAAAGAAAUCCGGGGUUAUAGCUUCAAGGACUACUACCUGGAAGAAGAGAAUGUAAAUCCUUGCGUGUCACUUGACAACAUAUUAUUAAAUGGAUUUGUCUACAUACCCAUUUCUCCUGACGGUGAAGGUGAUGCCUAUGACAUUCUCAAAGUAAGUGCCAGCCUUUAAUUUUUCUUUGUUAUUCCUUUUUGGAAUUCAGUCUCCUUUCUUCUUCUCACCUGUUCUGAAGGGAUUUUUAAUGAACUUUGUUGUGAGCUUGCUAACUUUUGUACACAAGAUAAUAACCAGGCCCAGGCCCUGCAUCUGUGUAGCCCAUGGUACCUGAGCAUUUCUCUGAACCAUUAAAACUUUGAAAGUCUCCUCAUUGCUAGUGGAGAUACCUGCGAAUGGGCUUGAGUAAGGAAACAGUCCUGAGAAGUGACAUCUGGUGCCAUAAUAUUAGAAACUCUCCCUUCUCAGUCAUGCAUGUUCUCUCUCUAUCUGGUGUAGAUAGGUCUUUAAUAAAGUGCCAGUUUCUUUGAUAACACACAAAACCACCUAUGCCCAUCCAGAGAGUCCUGCACAAGACUUUUUGGGUACCCUCGAUCUAACGCUUUUCACACAUGUCAUUUUCACCCAGGCAGAUGUCCCCAAGGCAGACCUGUGGCCUUAGCUUUCCAUCUGAUCAUGCCAGGAUUUAGCCUUAGCAGGAGUGUAACAUGAUAAAGCCUCAACAUCUGGGUUGAACCAGCCUAUCUGGCAUUUACAUACAAGCCUUUGUUAUUCUGAUCGUUACCAGACAAGUACAUCUAUUCUUCACAUACUAAAAAUAGUUUAUUUUCAAAAGUGUGUUUGCAUAUUUUUUGUUCUUUCUCUUUGUUUACUAGGAAUUGGGCUUAAAAGUCUUCACUAGCAGCAAGAUCCAUAAGCCUGAAAUCUGCCAGCAUUACCCAGGACACGUGAUGGAAAGGAGUUACAGUGGUUCUAGUACCUCCUUCAUUUUACCUCCCCCACAACUACCUAAAAUUUACCACCCUGUUUCUUUCCUUCCCCCUACUUCUUUGAAUAUUAAUUACACCAGGCAGAUCAGAUUUUGUUCAGAUAUGCUGACCUAAUUCAGGAUCACUCCCUUCUAGACUCAGUCCUGAAAUAUGAAACUGCUCCACCUCUGCCUGCUUAUCCCCAGCUAGACUGGCGUGCCUGGUUAGAACUGUGUGUGCUCAGUGACUCCCAUGCCAGCUCCUACAGCAGUGAUCCAGUAGGCACUAAAACAGCCUGCUAGCUCCAAGUAGUGGCUUUUUUUUUCAUCAGAUCUGAGUCCAGGUAUAGAAACCUAAAAAAAGAAGUCUCUACUUCUAGGCAGUCACGUUCCAGCAAUAACUAGAGGAACAACUAGGGCAAAAGUGGGCCAAGACAAACAAGAAGGUGGUACAAUUCCAUGGGUACAUAUUUUACCAGUGGAAGCUGAGAAAUUUGAUUCUGUUCCCAACUCUCCCACUCACAUGACUAUAAGAGGCUGGGUAGGUCACAUCACUUCUCUGCAGCUUCAGUGACUGUGAAGACAGAAUAAUGAUAAUACAUUUUUUUCCUCAAUAGUUCUCAGAUUAGAAAAGCUACACUCACCUAUAACACAACACUCAUCUAUACCACUUCCAGUCACUGACUUUUCUGGUGCAGUAUCCCAGCUCCUAUUAAAAAGUGACAGCGUUUGGUCUGGUGAUAGCUUCUAGCCUUCUAUUCAUAACAGAUCAGAUCUUUGGUUUUGAAAUGCAGGGUUUGUCUUCAGAGCAUGGCCUGAGACAGCUGGCUGCUUUGAGAAGAUGUAAAGUUUUCUAAGGCUGAUGGAAAGCCUUUCGUAAGGCACAACACUAUGCAACAGUGUGAGAAAGCAUCUCCCUGUUCUGGAACCGGCCAGAGAUGUAAAGACCCAUAUUCAUCUCAAAAGAAUCUUAGAUAGAGGAAGGGCAGGUUAAGUGUGGCUUCUGUUUCUGGUCAUGUAUGAACACAAUCAAUUCUUCAACCAAAUUUAAUAAAUUAUGUUCAACUGUAAUACCCGGAGGCAGUAAGUUCCACAUUUGACUCUGUAUUGCAAUAAAAAUGUGCUCCCAAUAACAUCAUCAUACAUGGCUCUUUUGGAACUGCUGGGUUUGCUGGCAGUGGGGGAAGAAUGUUCAACCCAUCCAAUCUCUGUAAGAAGAGCAGCAACAUUAGAAAAAAUUAAAUAUUGAGAUGACAACAGAGAAAUACAUUUGUUUCCAGUGGCCAAGGUUUCAAAUUGUUCUUCCAGUUUUAAAAUUUUAGCUAAGAAUAACCGCUACCUGGAAGGAAAGUACCCUGAAUUAAAACGGAGUUUGACAUGUCUUCUCCUUUCUUCCUAUCCUUGAACAAAUUUACUAGUCACUGCAUUGAAUCUGCUUGAUGAUUUGGACGAUGAAAUGACAGAACAUAUGGUUGCUGGCAAUCCCACGGAGACCGUCCGGAAGUACUUCCCUGAGACAUGGAUCUGGGACAUAGUUUCGGUGAAGUAAGUGUUUCUGGGAAUGUAGAGUGUGGUCACUUGGGCAAAACUUCAGAAGAUAUUAAAGCCUAAAUGGAAAUAUAAAUAUUUCUGUAGACAGAGGGAUUUUUCAAGGUCACUAAGUAUAGGAUGCUUUGGGAGGACAUGCAAAAGCUAGUGCCCAUAUCCCAACAGGUCAGGAGUUUACUGUCAGCAGGUGGUGUUCAGUAGGCUGAGAAAAACAUAAACGAUCACCAGAAUAUAACUGAAAUCUUGUUCUCUGACCCUCGUCAGCUCUGAGGGAAAUGCUGAUCUAGAUGUGACCAUCCCUGACACCAUCACCGAGUGGAAAGCCAAUGCAUUCUGCACUUCGGCAGACACGGGCUUUGGCCUGUCCCCGACAGUGUCCCUCAGAGCCUUCCAGCCCUUCUUUGUAGAGCUCACCCUGCCCUACUCUGUGGUGCGUGGUGAGUCCUUCACGCUGAAAGCCACCGUUUUCAACUACCUGGCUGCCUGCAUCAGGGUAAGAGACAUUCACAACUUUGUUCGGUCUGACAGUUUAGGGAAGGCUACAGUGGGCCACUUAUAACGUGGUUUCCCAAGCCAGGCGAUUCAUCUCUGACUAUAAUUUCAUAUAGGUGUACGUAUGUAGGAAUCUUGGUGUAUUUAAUGAAGGAGGAACAUGCUUUUC
ensembl:lncRNA